rnacentral:rRNA from 1 species
GGUGAACGCUGGCGGCGUGCCUAACACAUGCAAGUCGAUCGGAGCAGCAAUGCUUAGAGGCGAACGGGUGAGGAAAACGUAGUAACCAACCCUUUAGACUGGGAUAGCCACUGGAAACGGUGGGUAAUACCGGAUAAGCUCGAGAGAGGAAAGGCAGAGAAGCGCUAAAAGGACGGAACUGCGCCCCAUCAGAUAGUUGGUGAGGUAAAGGCUUACCAAGUCAAAGACGGGAAACCGACGUGAGAGCGUGUACGGUCACAAGGGCACUGAGAGACGGGCCCUACUCCUACGGGAGGCAGCAGUGGGGAAUAUUGGACAAUGGGCGCAAGCCUGAUCCAGCCAUGCCGCGUGAGUGAUGAAGGCCCUAGGGUUGUAAAGCUCUUUUGUGCGGGAAGAUAAUGACGGUACCGCAAGAAUAAGCCCCGGCUAACUUCGUG